rnacentral:rRNA from 1 species
CCUACGGGAGGCAGCAGUGAGGAAUAUUGGUCAAUGGGCGAAAGCCUGAACCAGCAAAGUCGCGUGAGGGAGUAAUGCCCUAUGGGUUGUAAACCUCUUUUGUCGGGGAGAAAAAGCCGGAAGUGUCCGGCUGUGCGCGUACACGAAGAAUAAGCAUCGGCUAACUCCGUGCUAGCAGCCGCGGUAAUACGGAGGAUGCGAGCGUUAUCCGGAUUUAUUGGGUGUAAAGGGUGCGCAGGCGGCUUUUUAAGUCAGCGGUCAAAUCGUGGGGCUCAACCCCAUCCAGCCGUUGAAACUGGGGAUCUAGAGUGUGCGAGAGGUAUGCGGAAUGCGAUGUGUAGCGGUGAAAUGCAUAGAUAUCACGCAGAACCCCGAUUGCGAAGGCAGCAUACCGGUGCACAACUGACGCUCAGGCACGAAAGCGUGGGUAUCGAACAGGAUUAGAUACCCCGGUAGUC